UAAUACGUAGGGAGCGAGCGUUGUCCGAAUUCACUGGGCGUAAAGCGCGCGUAGGCGGGUUUUUAAGUUGGGGGUGAAAUCCCGGAGCUCAACUCCGGAACUGCCUCCAAAACUGGAAGCCUUGAGGUAUGGAGAGGGAAGUGGAAUUCCUGGUGUAGCGGUGAAAUGCGUAGAUAUCAGGAGGAACACCCGUGGCGAAGGCGGCUUCCUGGCCAUAUCCUGACGCUGAGGUGCGAAAGCUAGGGGAGCGAACGGG
rnacentral:rRNA from 1 species